rnacentral:lncRNA from 1 species
CGGAAAUUACCCUCGACAUCUAGAAAAGCUGUUCUCUAAUGCCAAGGAAAUAAUAUGCCAUCGUAUCAAACAUUCUUUUCCGAUAAGGGAAGCAACCACAGAAAGCUUUCAUUUGUUGAAAGUAACCAGUGCUAUUGAUGCAAACAAAACAAAAUCCCAAUGACUCUCCCCAAACUACUUUUAUUUAUUUUUGUUUGAGUCAGGGUCUCAAUCUGUCACCCGGACUGGAGUGCAGUGGCAUGAUCUCGGCUCACGGCAACCACUGCCUCUCGGUUUCAAGCUAUCCUCUUGCCCCAGCCUCCCAAGUGACUGGAUUACAGGCAUGUACUACCACACCUGGCUAAUUUUUUUUUUUCUUCCCGAGAUGGAGUCUCGCUGUGUCACCUGGGCUGGAGUGCAGUGGCAUGAUCUCGGCUCACUGCAAAUUCCACUUCCUGGGUUCAAGCGAUUCUCCUGCCUCAGCCUCCUGAGUAGCUGGGAUUACAGGCAUGCACCACCACACUCAGCUCAUUUUCGUAUUUUUAGUAGAAACAGGGUUUCUCCAUGUUGAUCAGACUGGUCUCGAUCUCCCAACCUCAGGUGAUCUGCCUGCCUCGGCCUCCCAAAGUGCUGGGAUUACAGGCGUAAGCCACUGUGCCCGGCCCCAACUUUUUUAUUCUAUUGUUUCCUUUCCAUUUUUUUGCUCACCACCUCAUAUUGCUCUGGGUUGAAGGUCUGCCGUGUCUCCAGCCCUGCAUGCCUCAAGCUCAAGCUGCGUCUCAAGGGCUAAAUUUAGAUUUUAAAAAGACCACUCUGUCCUUGGUGUGGAAACAGAGAUGGAGAGGUCAAAGUAGAGGCAGGAAGACCACUUUGACACUGUUUUAAGCAUCCAAGUGAAACAGAGUAACUUUAAUCCACCCUGAAAGCCUAAAGUAAUGAGACAAUUGGGCAGAUAUGGGGGAUAUCAAGUAGACUUGCUUAAAAACUGGUUUUGAAGGGAGGACAAUGUAAUGAUUUUCAUAUUUUCUAUUUGAGACAAUAAAGAGGUAGAAAACAAGGAAGAACAGCAAGAGUGGGCAGAGGGCAGAGAGGGAUGAGUUCAGGUUUGGUUGUUUUGACAGAGGUGCUUUAGGGGGUCAUUUCUAAUGUGGGUUGAAAACAUACAUGGGGAUCCCGGAUCCCACAUGGUAAAUUGAUUUUGUUUUGUUUUUGAGACCAAGUCUUCCUCUGUCGCCCAGGCUGGAGUGCAGUGGUGUGGGAUUUCAGCUCACUGCACCUCUGUCUCCAAGGUUCAAGUGAUUCUCAUGCCUCAGCCUCCCAAGUAGCUGGGACUACAGGCACCCACCACCACACCCGGCUAACUUUUUUGUAUUUUUGGUAGAGACGGGGUUUCACCAUGUUGGUCAGGCUGGUCUCAAACUCCUGACCUCAGGUGAUCUACCUGCCUUGGCCUCCCAAAGUUCUGGGAUUACAGGUGUAAGACACUGCACCUGGCCCUUGAUUGAUUUUUAAAGUUUUAUUAUUUGGCUUCAAUCUCAUUUAUAUAUGAGGAAAACGAAGCUCAGAAGAGUUUCAAUGAUUUAAUGGAAGACUUAAAAUAUUAGAAAAAAGUUUUAUUCUUAAGAGAAUUUAAAAGAAGACAUUAAUAGAAAAUGAAAAGAAAUUGUGAACCCUUUCAAAACCUUUCAAUUCAAUGUUCUAGUUCUUCAUUUCCUUGAUACAACUCUGUACCAUGGUCAUAAUUUUUCCGUCUCAUGAAUAGGAGGAAAAAUGACAGGAAUGGAGACUACCCUGAGGAAUACUUUUGAGAUCAGUGGAUAGGUGUUCAAUGAAUAAGUCAGGUAUACCUAAAGAAACACUAAAUGUACAUGUACAUCAGUCAGUAUCUCAUAGCAUAAACAGUUAGUCAAGAUAGCUUUCUCUUUCCUAACCGUUUUGCCAUACUACAAUGAUCUAGUUAAAAUACAAAUUUCACAACUUCAAUGAUUCUUCACUGCCCACAAUUAACGCACUGUUUCAUAGACUAUGUUCUACCAAUUAUACAUUGCCUACAUAUAAUAGUCACUAUAAAGAAAUAAUGGACAGGCAUGGUGGCUCAUGCCUAUAAUCCCAGCACUUUGGGAGACUGAGGCAGGGGAAUCACUUAAGGCCAGGAGUUUUGAGAGCAGUCUGGGCAACAGAGUGAGAUCUUUUGGCUACACAAAAAAUUAAAAAAAAAAAAAAAAAAAAAGUAGGGGGGGUGGGGCUAGGCGCAGUGGCUCAUGCCUGUAAUCCCAGCUCUUUGGGAGGCCAAGGGGGGUGGAUCACCUGAGGUCAGGAGUUCAAGACCAGCCUGACCAACACGGUGAAACCCCAUCUCUACUAAAAAUACAAAAAAAAAAAAUUAGCCAGGCAUGGUGGCGCAUGCCUGUAAUCUCAGCUACUCGGGAGGCUGAGGCAGAAGAAUUGCUUGAACCCAGGAAGUGGAGGUUGUGGUGAGCCAAGAUCGUGCCAUUGCACUCCAGCCUGGGCAACAAGAGCAAAACUCAGUCUCAUAAAAAAGGCUGUGGUGAGCCAAGAUUGUGCCAUUGCACUCCAGCCUGGGCAACAAGAGCAAAACUCAGUCUCAAACAAACAAACAGACAAUAGCAGGGUGUAGCAGCACGUGCCUGUAGUCCCAGCUAUUUAAGAGGAUGAGGUGGGAAGACUGAGUUGAGCCCAGGAGCUCGAGGCUGCAGUGAGCCAAGAUCAUGCCACUGCACUCCAGGGCAAGCCCUUGUCUUCAAAAAACAAAAAAAUUCAAAAAAGUAAUGCGUUGAACAAACACCAAGUACAAAGUAUACUAAUACAGUGGAUAAAUGCUACUCCAACUCUGAUCCACUGACUGCCAGGAUCAGCAUGACACUACAGAUGGAACUCAAGAAUCUGUCAUAACAGGCUAUCCGGCUGAUUGUUCUGAAUGUGAAAGUUUUAGAAACACUGUUCCAAGGGUAAAAAUGAGGGGACCUAAUUUCUUCUCUCUUAGGAAUCUUACCCCCCAAAAGGUAUUGCAAGCAUCUGUUGUGGGGCUGGAAUUCCUAAAACCUCUCAAAGCAUGCUGUGUGAAUAAAAGGACAGUGUUCAGAUUUCUGACUCUAACAGACCAUCUAACCAUGGAAGCCUACAGCCCUUUUAAAACAUGUACUUUCAAUGUUGUGAGCUGAGUAUAUAUAACAACAUAUUGCUAGUAUGUAAAUGUGCUUAAAACAAAAAUGAAGUUCUUAUCUCUAGCAGAACUGGAGUCACACCUAAAUUACAACAUUCAGACAAGGCCUUCCUUUUAAGUAGACAUGACAGAAUUUUAAAUUUAUAAAACGAAUUAAUGUAUCGCAUACAUUCACUUUACAUAUUCAAAAAACGCUAAACUUAAGAAACUGAAAAGUUGAAAAAUAAGAGGUAGUAGUACCCACUGAGUGACGUUCUGGCAUUCUAUUAAAUAUUCUACAUUAGAAGAUUAUAGGGAAAAGGGAGCUGAAUUCUAAGAGAACAAAUGUAGAGAAGGCAACCCUAUGGUCUUGGGAAAAGACAAUAAUGGAAGGAAAAAUAUAUUCAAAAUGUAUUGUACAAAUUGUUAGACAUGCAUCACUUACAAUAAACAGAAGGUAAUUAUUUGUGGUAGCAUAAAGAGAGAAGGGAAUAGGCCAGGCACAUUGGCUCACGUCUGUAAUCUCAACACUUUGGGAGGUGGAGGCGGGCAGAUCACUUGAGGUCAGGAGUUCAAGACCAGCCUGGCCAACAUGGUGAAACCCAUCUCUACUAAAAAUACAAAAAUUAGCUGGGUAUGGUGGCGCACACCUGCAAUCCCAGCUACUCGAGAGGCUGAGGCAGGCAAAUUGCUUCAAACCUGUGAGGCAGAGGUUGCAGUGAGCCGGGAUCGCACCACUGCACUCCAGGCUGGGCUACAGGGUGAGAUUCUGUCUCCAAAAAAAAAAAAAAGAGAGAAAGGAAUAGAGUGUUUUGUUAGCUCUGGUCAUUCCCACUCUUCUUCUCUCUUGUUGCUAUUACUUUGAAGCAUUUGGUUUGGUUAUUCUAUUUUGUUAAGGAAUAAUUAAAAAGUACAUUACUAACAGUUUUGCUUUAUAUAUUGUGUGCCUUGGGCAAAAUUUGUGUGUGUGGUUAUUCACAGAGGAGGAGCCAGAUAGGUAGCUCAGUCCAUAAACUAUGGAAGGUAGCAGUAUCCUUUACUGCAGUGGCUUUCAAAUUUGACAUGCACCAAAAUCUCCUGGAGAGCUUGUUAAAACAUAGAAAGCAGGGCCUCAUCCCCCACGUUUUUGAUUCAGUAGGUCUGGGUUGGGGCUCGAGAAUUUGCAUUUCUAACAAAUUCCUAGGUGAUGCUGAUGCUGAUGCUGAUGCUUCUGGUUUGGAGCACAUACUUUGAGAACCACUGCUCUAAUGGAAUCAGUAGUCACAAGGCCAAGCAGCCAGGUAGACACUAAGGGAAAACAGUACCUCCCUGUGUAGGUUUUCAGGACACAACAUUAGUUACAAGUUUUAUCACCUGCUCAACCAGGUAUAUAGCUAUGUCAAUUCUCAAGGGCUUUAACUGACAAAACCAGUUGUUAGAGGACAGUUCUUUCAAGGGUGAACCCAACACCUAAAAAAAGUUUUGAAAAAGUCAGUUAUUUGCCUAUUUAAGGACGGUUUUAGAAUCCACUAUUAUGGGAAUGGAUCUGCUUAGCCUAUUUGAGGUUUUUUUGUUUUUUGAGACAGAGUCUCGCCCUGUUGCCUGGGCUGGAGUGCAAUGGUGCGAUUUUGACUCACUGAAACCUCUGCCUCCCGGGUUCAAGUGAUUCGCCUCCCUCAGCCUCCCGAGUAGCUGGGAUUACAGGCGCCCGCCACCACGCCUGGCUAUUUUUUUUUGUAUUUUUAG